rnacentral:rRNA from 1 species
GACGAACGCUGGCGGCGUGCCUAAUACAUGCAAGUAGGACGCAGUUGCGAACGGGUGAUUAACGCGUAGGUAACUACCUAUUCGAGGGGGAUAACUAUUGGAAACGAUAGCUAAUACCGCAUACUAGUAGAUGGACCUGCUUUGUAUUAGCUAGUAGGUAGGGGAAUGGCCUACCUAGGGAAUGAUGCAUAGCCGACCUGAGAGGGGGAUGGGCCAAACUGGGAUCGGGACACGGCCCAGAAUCCUACGGGAGGCAGCAGGAGGGAAACUUCGGGAAAGGGGGGAACCCUGGCCGAGGCACGCCGGGGGAGUGAAGAAAGUUUUCGGAUCGUAAAGCUCUGUUGUUAAGGAAGCGGUACUUAACCAGAAAGGGACGGCUAACUACGUGCCAGCAGCCGCGGUAAUAC